UACAUCAUAGUGAAAAUAAAACUGAAUCCCAAUACCCCACUUAGAUGCAACCUACACCUGAGCUUUAUGCAUGUUCAUGUGCAAACUAUGCAUAUACUAAAGCUUGCAGCAAGCACACACACAUAUACACCAGCAGCGGCUCACUGUUAAUCAUCAUGUUAGUCAUUCAUUAAGUAGAGGCUCACUGUUUGUUUGUGCGCAUGUUUCCAAAGAAAUAAAUACUCAAUGCCAUUCGGUGGUUUUCAAUGUGCCAGUCUCCUUUUCUGCUCUUAUUUAAUUAUUUAUGUACUCCUAUCUUGCCAAUGAUUUACCUAUUGUUGUAUGUAAUUUAAUGUGAGGCACCGCACUCAUCCGUUCCGGCAAUAUCGAGAUGGAGGCCAACACCAUGGAUGGCUGGAGCUGCGAGUAUAUUUGUCCAAGAUAUGGCAGUGUUCGUAGUCAUGGUUCUGGUAACUGUCUAUGAUCUCCAUAUCUUAACUAUUUGUGAAGACGGAAAUGCAAAUAAUAUUCUUCUUAGAUGCUCUUGCCCUUUUUAUUCGUAAAUUGCUAAACUGACAACUGAGCUCUCACUACUUGUAUUCAUAAAUUGCUGAAUUACCCAAUAGAACUCUUGCUGUCACAGUCCGUAAAUUGCUAAAUUUCUCAUUAUGUCGCUUGCACUGUUCCAUAUGAGCAAUGUCUAUUGUGCUUUUAACCCAUCAACUAAGUAGGUACUAUGUUAUUAGUGGCUUGCUUUUAGGCCACAACCACAUCUGUUUAUUUUUCUCUGAGUCUGUUUAUGUUUGUUAUGUGACCUGAAGUAGUAUAUUGAGUUCUAAGGGAAUACUUUCAGGUCAGAACUUUUCUUUGUAUUAGUCGUAAUCUAGCCGGGCAACCAAUGUAUCAGAAGUAAUGACCCUUUGUAAGAAGUAAUGUUUCUUAUUUGUAGGGCAACCCAUCACUAUUUGCAUCAUGUCAAUGCAUUGUGUAUUAACGGUUCAUUUGGUUAUUUUCUUUGUAGAUAUACAUGGAUGAUUAUAUGGGUGCGUGGCAAGUAUACUACAAUGAUGAUGAUGAUGAUGUUCCGGUUCACGAUGAUGAAGAUGAUGUCUGUUUUCAGUUUUAGUUAUGAUGGUUGUUUUCAGUUUUAGUUAAGUUGUAGGGAUGUUGUUCCUGUUGGAUGAUGUUCCUUGGUUAGGUUUUAGUUAAGUUGUAGGGUUGUUGAUGGAUGCUGUCAGUUUAACUUUCGUUGUCAAGAGAAUGUUUAGAUUAUGCAUCACAUUUGGAUGUUAUUCCUCCUGUAAUAUCAACUAUUGUAAUCCCACAAUUUUUCUCAAUAUAUGAUUUCUUCCUCUCGUGCGUAUAUUUUGUCUUCUGACUUGAU
rnacentral:lncRNA from 1 species